rnacentral:rRNA from 1 species
UACGGAGGGUGCAAGCGUUAUCCGGAAUCACUGGGUUUAAAGGGUGCGUAGGCGGUUGUAUAAGUCAGGGGUGAAAGGAUGCAGCUUAACUGUAUAAUUGCCUUUGAUACUGUAUGACUUGAAUAAGGUUGAGGUUGGCGGAAUGUGACAUGUAGCGGUGAAAUGCUUAGAUAUGUCAUGGAACACCGAUUGCGAAGGCAGCUGACUGGGCCUUUAUUGACGCUGAGGCACGAAAGCGUGGGUAGCGAACAGGAUUAGAUACCCUGGUAGUCCACGCCCUAAACGAUGUAUACUCGUUGUUUGAGAGUAAUUUUGAGCGACCAAGCGAAAGCGUUAAGUAUACCACCUGGGGAGUACGCCCGCAAGGGUGAA